rnacentral:rRNA from 1 species
ACACGCAUGACACACUGCAUAUCAAUAAGCGGAGGAAAAGAAACUAACAAGGAUUCCCUCAGUAACGGCGAGUGAAGCGGGAAGAGCUCAAAUUUGAAAUCUUAAAGGGUUUUCCCUUUACGAAUUGUAGUUUAAAGAAGUGUUUUCUGUUGGAGUUUCGGUAAAAGUUCUUUGGAAUAGGACAUCAUAGAGGGUGAGAAUCCCGUAUUUGACCGUUACUUUCCAGCUGUGUGAUACACUUUCAAAGAGUCGGAUUGUUUGGGAAUGCAGUCCAAAAUGGGUGGUAAAUUUCAUCUAAAGCUAAAUAUUGGCGAGAGACCGAUAGCGAACAAGUACCGUGAGGGAAAGAUGAAAAGAACUUUGAAAAGAGAGUUAAACAGUACGUGAAAUUGUCAAAAGGGAAGCGUUUGACACCAGUGUUGUUUUUCCGAAAAUCAAUUACGAAUGUUUUGUUUUUGAGGAGUUAUGACUUCAUCGGCUUGCUUCUCUCUUUACGAAACUUUCUUAAUGCACUUUUCGGUUAACAAGUCAACAUCAAUUUCUUUUGUUGUAAAAGGGUAUGAGGAAGGUGGCUUUCUUUUCGGAGAGAGUGUUUAUAGCCUUGUGCCUCUGCAAUCGGAGAGAUUGAGGUCUGCAGCGUAGAUCCUUCGGGGUUAGAUACAUUUGUGCUAAGUUAUAGCUUUUCAUAGACAACUUGUUGACUAUGUUAAGUCUUGUAGCUUACUCGCUUAUGCUAUUUUACCUACGCUUAGGAUGUUGAAGACUCUACAGAGAUA